CGCCAGCCUAAGUUGUUUUCCCACAUUUUCUUUCUUCCGCUCUCAUUUUACGGGAAAACGAGAAAGAAAAAGAAAAGAUGUACGGAUUCGACCGCAUAAGCAACACGAGCGGCGGCGGCAAGGCGGAUGAGAUAGAUCUAGAGUCGGGGGAGACUUUAUACCCGGGACUCAGCUACGGCGAGAACCAACUCCGUUGGGGCUUUAUCCGCAAGGUUUACGGCAUCUUGGCGGCCCAACUGAUUCUAACAACCGUCGUCUCCGCCUUCGUCGUUUUGUCGGAUCCAGUCAACGACCUCCUCCGUGGAAAUUCCGGCCUCUUACUCUUCCUGUGUUUAAUCCCCUGCAUCUUGUUGUGGCCUUUGCAUGUCUAUCACCAAAAGCACCCAGUGAACUUGGUUAUCCUUGGCCUCUUCACCGUGUCAUUGAGUCUCACGGUUGGUGUGAGCUGUGCUAAUACAGAUGGAAGAAUUGUACUUGAAGCGCUAAUUUUGACAGCAGUUGUGGUUGCAUCUCUUACCGGCUACACUUUCUGGGCGUCGAAGAAGGGCAAGGACUUUAGCUAUCUGGGGCCAAUUUUGUUCACCAGCCUUAUUAUCCUUAUCUUAACUGGUCUAAUCCAGAUGUUCUUUCCACUCGGCCCUGCAUCUACUGCUGUGUAUGGUGGAAUUAGUGCCAUGAUUUUCUGUGGGUACAUAGUGUACGACACUGACAACCUGAUCAAACGUUUCACAUAUGAUGAUUACAUAUUGGCCUCUGCCACUCUCUAUUUGGACGUCCUGAAUUUGUUCAUCUCCAUUCUACGGGUUCUGAGAUCUGGCGAUAACUAGUUAUACAACAUGUCAGAAAGUGAUCAAGUAAUUGCCUGAAGAAUAUUUGUCUAUAUAUAAGGUGAAAUAAAUAGUAAAGGAGGGAGUCGGCUGGAACAUCCGACGUCUUUGAGAAGUCGACCGAAACAUCUGACGUCUUUGAGAAGCUGGCCGGAGCAUUCGGCAUCAUCCCAU